rnacentral:misc_RNA from 1 species
UCCGGUUUGGCACCGGCAGUCUCCUAUGAGUCCCCGGCAUGACCCGCUGGCAACAUAGGACAGGGGUUGCGCUCGUUGCGCCACUUAAGGCAACACCUCACGGCACGAGCUGACGACGACCAUGCAGCACCUGUGCGGGCUCCCGAAGGAGGACCGGCUUUCGCCGGCUUCACCCCGCAUGUCAAGCCCUGGUAAGGUUCUUCGCGUCGCGUCGAAUUAAGCCACAUGCUCCGCCGCUUGUGCGGGCCCCCGUCAAUUCCUUUGAGUUUUAACCUUGCGGCCGUACUCCCCAGGCGGGGUGCUUAAUGCGUUAGCUACGUUGCCGCAGGGGUCAAUACCCGCGACGACUAGCAUCCAUCGUUUACGGCGUGGACUAC